UACGUAGGUGGCAAGCGUUGUCCGGAUUUACUGGGCGUAAAGAGCGCGCAGGCGGUUAUUCAAGUCGAAUGUGAAAGCCCCCGGCUUAACUGGGGAGGGUCAUUCGAUACUGUUUAACUUGAAGGCAGGAGAGGGUAGUGGAAUUCCCGGUGUAGUGGUGAAAUGCGUAGAUAUCGGGAGGAACACCAGUGGCGAAGGCGGUUCUCUGGGCCUGUACUGACGCUGAGGAGCGAAAGCGUGGGGAGCGAACAGG
rnacentral:rRNA from 1 species